rnacentral:rRNA from 1 species
GAUGAACGCUGGCGGCGUGCCUAACACAUGCAAGUCGAGCGAACAGACGAGGAGCUUGCUCCCCUGACGUUAGCGGCGGACGGGUGAGUAACACGUGGAUAACCUACCUCUAAGACUGGGAUAACUUCGGGAAACCGGAGCUAAUACCGGAUAAUACAUUGAACCGCAUGGUUCCAUAGUGAAAGACGCUUUUGCUGUCAAUUAUAGCUGGAUCCGCGCCGCAUUAGCUAGUUGGUAAGGUAACGGCUUACCAAGGCAACGAUGCGUAGCCGACCUGAGAGGGGGAUCGGCCACACUGGAACUGAGACACGGUCCAGACUCCUACGGGAGGCAGCAGUAGGGAAUGUUCCGCAAUGGGCGAAAGCUUGACGGAGCGACGCCGCGUGAGUGAUGAAGGUCUUCGGUUCGUAAAACUCUGUUAUUGGGGAAGAACAACUGUGUGAGUAACUGUGCACGUCUUGACGGUACCUAAAGAAAAAGCCACGGCUAACUACGUG